CCAGUAUCCCUUCUGCAAGUAAGUAAGUGACUAGUAACAAUCACGUUUUCUAAUAGGGUCUCAAGGAGAAAACAAACAAUCUAAUAGGACAUGGCCAAGGCAGAAGAACAACAACAACAAGAAGAGGAGUAGGAGGCAGAAAGAAAAAACAGACAAACAACAAAAACAAAACAAAACAAAAAGCCCUCAGAACAUAGAGAGAGACCAGCAAUUGUUAGACUGUCAAGCCAUCUUCCAAAGCAGAUGUGGGUUCUAUGUUCCCAUCAGUGGAUCCCGAGGAUGGCAUCAGGCCCACCUGGAUAAACCAGGAUAAUCUUCUAAAAUUGCAGGCUUCAAAGAUAUCCGGAUCUAAAUUCCUGGGACUAGUGACUGUAUGGAAAAAAGAGGUUUCCACGGAUAUAAUUAAGUCACAGAUCUUAAGAUAAGGAUGUUAUCUUAGAUUGUAAGCUCUAAAUAUGAUUAGAUCGUUCCUUUAAUUGGAGGACAGUGCUUUAUAAGAGGAAAACAGAAGAUUCCACAAUAGAGAGAUGAUG
rnacentral:lncRNA from 1 species